UAGAUUUAUAAUAUAGGAUUUGAUUAAUGACUAUGAUUAAAGUUAAAAGUUUAGUCUAAUUUAAAAGUUUUAAAUAUAAGGUUAAUGUUCAUGAUUAAAGUUUAUUUGGAGUCUUAGGUUUGGGGUUUAGAGUAAAAUUUGAGAAUACAAUUUGAAAUUUUUUGAUUAGUAUCUAUGUUUAGGUUUUGGUGUUUAAAUUUGAAAAGGUUAAAUUUGAUGUUUGGAUUUUACGAUUUGGUGUAUAAAAUUUAGAGUUAUUGUAUAUGGUUUGGAAUAUAGUGUUUGAAUUUUAGUAGUUUUGGAAAUAAUUUAUUUAAAAUAUUAAAUUUUGAGUUUAAGUUGAUAUUUGUUGUUAAACUUUGAAAAUAUUAGAGUUAAUGUUUUGAUUUAUGAUUUGGGUAUAGAGUUUAUAUAUAAAGUUUAGGGUUUGAAAUAUAGUGUUUGAGUUUAGAUUUAAAAUUUGAAAAGUUAUUUUAAAAGUGAUUAAAUUUGAGUUUAACUUUAAGAUUUUGAGGUUAUAGUAUGAAAAUAUUAGAGUUUAAAGUUUACUUUUAGAGUUUAGGGGUUAGAAACAUGUUUAGGGUAUAGGGUUUCAAAUAGCCACGAAUAUUUUCAUAGCAAAUCGUAGCUAAAAGAUAUUUUGUAUAUUAGCCACGUAAUAUUCGUAGCAAAAUCGUAGCAAUUUUUUGCUACGUUUACAUUCGUAGCAAAAUCGUAGCUAAUUUAGCUACACAAUUGAUAUGGUUUGCUACGUUUUACGUUUCGUGGCAAAUUCGUAGCAAAUUCGUAGCUUUUUCCAUUUUGCUACGAAAAUAACGUAGCAAAUUCGUAGCUAUAGCGAUUUUUUCUACUAGUGAUAUUCUAUGCGAAUGAAAAAUGAUUCAGUAAGCUGAAAGGUCAGUACUGAUAUAUUGUAAGUGUAACUGAGGGUAUAUAGACUGGUUGUGUAUCAAUGGUUAUUUGUAUAUACAUUGGGUCACUCAUAGUUCGGUUUAUGAAAAAGUCUUCUUAGUGAGUGCUUUGGGUUAGGAUUUUUUUUUGGUCAUCUCUUUUCACGCAUAAAAGUGAGGUUGAGUCUUGUGGAAUAAUUAUUGGGCCGAGCAAUAUAGGCAAUAAAAGCCCAAGUGUGUUGGUCUGUGUUGGUCGCGUCAUAGAAGUGUAUAAAGAUUAACGGGAUGGUUGAGUUUCUAUAUCAUAUUUCCUUCUCUCGAAUCCCGAAGUUUUCUCUCUCUCUCUCUCUCUCUCUCUCUCUCUCUCUCUCUCUCUCUCUCUCUCUCUCUCUCUCUCUCUCUCUCUCUCUCAAUACCCCCAAGCGAAUCUUCCAUGGCAAACUCUUCAUCUUCCGGUGUUGAAAGCUCAAAACGUAGUCGCUCUCGUGCUGUGCUUGUUACGAACAUCCUAUCCAAAUCUUCAACCUCAAUGCUCCCAUUCCAUAUCUCUCUUUUGACCAGCAUCUCCAAAAAAAUCUUGCUCCCUUCGCCUUUGAUCAAAAUCCAAUCGGUGAUUCCUCUUGCUGUCAUGAAUCCGACAAUGCUCUCAGUAAGUAUCAAGAACUGUUCUUGAGAGGUUUCAUAGUUCAGGUUUAUAUUUGCGCAUAUGACUUUGACAUUGCUGAGGCUCAACGCAUAAUCGAUAGUGUAGGUUGGAUUUACAUUUUCAUCCUUGUUCUUCCCUUCUGUCCUUGGGUUGUUAGGGAAUGUAUCUCGACAAAUUACUACACUGUGUUUGGUGUGUUCAUCAGAGAACACCAUUUUGAGUUUGAUCCCAAUGUGUAUACCUGACACAAGCCAUCAUGUUCUUAACUGGACGACAUCAUGCUCCCAUUCCAUAUCUCUCUUUUGACCAGCAUCUCCAAAAAAAUCUUGCUCUCUUCGCCUUUGAUCAAAAUCCAAUCGGUGAUUCCUCUUGCUGUCAUGAAUCCGACAAUGCUCUCAUGUAGGUUGGAUUUACAUUUUCAUCCAUGUUCGUCCCUUCUGUCCUUGGGUUGUUAGGGAAUGUAUCUCGACAAAUUACUACACUGUGUUUGGUGUGUUCAUCAGAGAACACCAUUUUGAGUUUGAUCCCAAUGUGUAUACCUGACACAAGCCAUCAUGUUCUUAACUGGACGACAAAGUUCAGGGUGGUGCACCUUCAUUCUUACUACUCAUCGUUCAUCGUAUCAAAUCCUAUACAACUUCUGUAAGCUGAACUGGUCCUUGGUUUCGAAGUGGAUUAGAUGAUUAAGUGCCACCUUCGGUUUCUGUUCGCUUUCAUCAGUCGAAGGGAGAUUGAUUUGGAGAUUUAAUGUAUAAUCAAAUUAUCGAAAUGUUGCGUCAGUAUGAUGAAGAAAAGCCUAUAGUUUCUUCCCAACCUGAUCUAUCAGGUACUUCUGCUUCAAAAGAAGAUACUCGUGCUUCCAGGCGGCGAAGAACUCAUUGGCCAGCCCCUUUAGAUCUGGUCAGUAGCUGCUAAUAACCCUGAACUCAAUACCAGAGAACCUAAAGGAUGCAAUAGGAUCAAAUGGAGUUUGUGUUUUUUUGUCUAACUAGUCACUGAUUCAAGAGAAGUGUUAGUCUUUUGAGUCUUUCGGUUUAGUGUCGUGCUCUUAAGAUCUUGUGUUUCUAAGUUGGUUUGUAAAAGUUUUGAACUUUUUUGCUUUCUAGCAUUUAUGUUAAUUAUCUUCUAUGCAAGUUGUUGUUGCACUUGGAGCUCUUUGAAUUUGUUUUGCAAGUCAGAGAAAUGAGGUAACAUAUGCAGACAAAAAGGAGAGAUUGUAAACUCAAGAAUAUUGAGAACAAGGAAGCAAGAGGAUUAUGAUUCUGAAAUGAUGACGGACUGCAAAGAUUAUGGAAAGAAGAUAUUCGAGAUUGGAAAAUGCUCGACUAUAAGUAGGAGACGAAUUAAAUGAAAUUAGGCUAACAGUCAAAGAAAUAGAAAGACAUGACUCUUGAUAGAGAUUUAAGGUUUAGGGUUCUUGGUGAGUGAGAUACUUGUGUGUGACGCAACUAGAUUUGUAGCAAGAAAUCUUGGAUAAUUAGGAAUUGGUCAGUUGUGAUACACAUGCCAUGGGCAGUCACCUAAAUCUGAGUGAACAAGACACUGUCAAGUUUGUUGAGAUGGUUUCUAAUAAAAGUAUUUUUUGAAAAAAAAAAUCCAUCUGUAAGAUUAUAAACUACUCAGUUUCUAGGUAAUUCAAAACCAGCCAAAAACACCCGAAUAAACCGAAUGCCUAACUCUAAUGUAAACCAUUGGAGAUAUAUCUACUUUUAUUAUUGUUCAGGACUACAAGUCCACAGUAUUUAAAUUCUGUCGAGUAUGAGGAAUGUAGGACCAUUGUAACCCAUCGGAAUCGGACCCAAACUUUUUAUCUUGCGUAUGUGCGAAGAUUAAUCUUCAAGAUUAUGAUAUGUACGGUCGAGUGGACCUCCUGUCGUUAAAAAAAGAAAAGAAAAAACGAAGUUGGUCUUAUUCUAAACAUAUAUUAUACUGUAUUACUCAUUUUGAAAACUGAAUCAGUCAGGUCCACAUUUUUCCAUUCUGGAUCUAAAGAGUUAUUAAUACUUGAUAUUAAUCAUCUAUAUUACUUACGCUUGCGGCAGCCAAAAUAUUAAUCAACGAUAUAAACCGUAUAUGAUGAUUAAAUAAAAAAUGAAAACUAUGAUAGAAAUUCCUAUUUAAAGAUAAGAUUUUGACGAUGUUAGCCGGCACACCUUUAUCCAGAUAACAUUUUGUGACAAUAUAUACAUCCUCGUUUUUUUUUUUUUUUUUCCCAAAUUAUAGAUGGGCCAAGCCCAGAGCCGAAGCCCAAACAGAACAGGAUUUAAAACAAAAGCCUACGAACCGGGC